CUUACCAUGUCGUCCAGGCUGGCUUCAGACUCACGGAGGUCCCUGCCUGCGCUUACCACCAGCCCAGAAUCAAAGUUGUGGAGAUUCCAGCAGCAGAGCUGGACGGAUCCUCCCAGGAUCCCAUUUCAUAGUCUCAGCAGAGCCCAUGGCCCUGACAUGUAAUUGGUUUGAACUGCUUACCCCAGAUCUGCCCAAAUGAACUGAACAUCCCCAGGACUGUGAGAGCAGCAGAAUGGGAGAGAACAUGGAAGGUUCUCUGAAGAUGGAAUGCAGAGAAAUUUGAAGGUGGCAGAGACAGGACUGUCGAGGUUAUAAGCCAGAGUGUCAGUGGUGAUCAGAAGCUGAAAGAAGCAAACAGGGCAGGCGAACUUGCCAGCGCAAUGGCGAAGCAAAGCUGCAAAGAACGUAGGUGUUCACCCAGAAGCUGUGGUUCUACCUGUCGCGAGACCACAUGACCGUAACAGCUACAUUGGCUUAAUUCGUAAGUAGUAAAAACCUGAAGAAACCUAACUGUCAACAAGAUAAAGGAUUAAUGAAAUUCAGUGUGGUCCUGCAGAGGCAUGCCAUGCAUCAGUUAAAAAGAACACUGAGACACUCCCAUCAAUCAGACGACUCUACAGAGAGCCACGUUGCACGAUCCCGCUGUCGUGAGCUGAAGAAAACUUACAAUGCUAGAAAUCAGGACAGCGCAUGCCACUGAGUGUGAGGGACAACCAGGAAGGGGACACAAACUCCCUGCACUCAGUCAGAGCUCCCUCUCUGCAGUUGUGCAUCUGUGGAGCCAACGAGCCAGCCAAUCAGACGCAAAGAAGCAGCGUCUGCACUUUGCCUGUGGCGCUGCCAGAGG